CGACGAAACGCCUUCCGAAGCCGACUCCGUCUGCGGCCCCUACCUCUCCUGCCAUUGAGUCUGAGUGGCAAGUGGUGGGGGAGAAGAAAAAGAGACGGAGGGCGGCCAAAGGGCCAAAAAGAAGGCCCAAAGACGGCGGCGCAGAGAGCAAGCCGCUGUCCCCAAGACUGCAGCAGUAGUAAUAAUGGCGUCCACGGCCGAUUUCGGCCACGGCGGCUGUUCUCAUUUAAGGAGAUCAGCCAGCUGCGCAGGACAUAUUAUAGUGCACGAGCAUUUGCGCAGACACAGGUGCACUCCCUAUUCCUUCACUCUCAUAACCCGAUGGG